AGAGGAGCUUGCUCUUCUUGGAAGAGUUGCGAACGGGUGAGUAGCGCGUANGUAACCUGCCUUGUAGCGGGGGAUAACUAUUGGAAACGAUAGCUAAUACCGCAUAACAAUGGGUGACCCAUGUCAUUCAUUUGAAAGGGGCAACUGCUCCACUACAAGAUGGACCUGCGUUGUAUUAGCUAGUAGGUGAGGUAACGGCUCACCUAGGCGACGAUACAUAGCCGACCUGAGAGGGUGAUCGGCCACACUGGGACUGAGACACGGCCCAGACUCCUACGGGAGGCAGCAGUAGGGAAUCUUCGGCAAUGGGGGCAACCCUGACCGAGCAACGCCGCGUGAGUGAAGAAGGUUUUCGGAUCGUAAAGCUCUGUUGUAAGUCAAGAACGAGUGUGAGAGUGGAAAGUUCACACUGUGACGGUAGCUUACCAGAAAGGGACGGCUAACUACGUGCCAGCAGCCGCGGUAAUACGUAGGUCCCGAGCGUUGUCCGGAUUUAUUGGGCGUAAAGCGAGCGCAGGCGGUUUGAUAAGUCUGAAGUUAAAGGCUGUGGCUCAACCAUAGUUCGCUUUGGAAACUGUCAAACUUGAGUGCAGAAGGGGAGAGUGGAAUUCCAUGUGUAGCGGUGAAAUGCGUAGAUAUAUGGAGGAACACCGGUGGCGAAAGCGGCUCUCUGGUCUGUAACUGACGCUGAGGCUCGAAAGCGUGGGGAGCGAACAGGAUUAGAUACCCUGGUAGUCCACGCCGUAAACGAUGAGUGCUAGGUGUUGGGUCCU
rnacentral:rRNA from 1 species